CACUGAUCAAUCGAUGGAUAGCUGUAUGAUUCACUGAUCAAUCAAUGGAUAGCUGCAGAGUUCUCUGAUCAUUCGAUGGAUUGCUGCAGAGUUCCCUGAUCAUUCGAUGGAUAGCUGCAGGAUUCUCUGAUCAAUCAAUGGAUAGCUGCAGUGUUCUCUGAUCAAAUCGAUGGAUAGCUGCAGGAUUCUCUGAUCAAUCAAUGGAUAGCUGCAGUGUUCUCUGAUCAAAU